rnacentral:lncRNA from 1 species
UUUCCUCUUCCCUUUUGUUAAAUGAACUUUUUCCAUUUGUUUCAUUGUAUGAUAUUAUCAUAUUUGUCGGAUGAGAAUUUUGAGAUAUUAAACACUUGCUUAUAACAUAAGCAGUAACUGUAGUAUGAGAAUUAUAGUUGUAAAUUUAAUUUGGAAUGAAAAUAUGGAUAUCUCACAAAGCAAACUUAGAUCAACGUCCAAUUGUAAAA